UUGUGUUGGGAGUUAAGGGGAGUAUGUGAGGCACUGUGCUUGUGUUCGUGAGGGACAACAACGAAAAGCCUCAAUGCUGAAUACGUUUUUUCAUCCUAUUCAAACUGAAUUCUUAAAGUGUACACAGUGUUCCAUAUCUGGACACUGGGCGGUUUUUGUACAUAUUCUCAUCGUGCAUGUGCAUGCACACAUCAUACGCGGUCUGCGUCCACAGUACGUUUGCAUGCAUUUUUUUUUCACUGGAGCGCAGCAAUACGAAGAAUAGCAAUAGAUGUAAUGCCAUGUUUAUCGAUUAAAUUGUCACUUUGCCUCAAAACUAUUUUCCAAACGAGCCUUGUGUAGAAUCUUUGGGCAUGUUUUUUUUUCAGUCUGUAGAGAAAACCCAUAAGUAUGAAAGAAGAAUGGUCAAGCUGUGCACUUAUAGGCCAUGGAGUGGUAAUCUUUUUGGAAGGACGGCGGUUCUCAAGAGAUAAUGCCCAAAGGGCUGCUACGCAACAAACAACCAAGUAAUUUAAGGCCAAUUGUUGGGGUGAGGCUCACUUUCCGCAGCGUCUUAUAACCCAGGAGAUACGUCAUUGGCGUCCAUCAACCUCACGCCACUUGAGAAUCCAAAUGAAUCUUGGGACGACUGGCCGCAGCACCAUGGAUUCGAACCCCCAGGAUCUACAUGUUCAAGCUGGCCUGACGUCUUGGAAGAGGUUCGGAGUACGCACGCUUCACUCCACCACCACCACCGCCACCGCCACCACACGUGACAUUGCCGAUCGACUAACCACGUGUUCAUCGUUUCAACGUCGCCAUCCGGGAGAUCGAAAGGCGAACCAGAGGGUGAUGUCUGGUUCGCAAGUCCAUCGCAGGACUCAUAACACCAGGGAAGCAUCCGCUAUUAUUUUAAUGCUAAGGAUGGAUAUAACGAGAACUCAAUGCCUAUUUGUUUAGUAAAAUAAUAAUACAAUAAUCUAAUAAUAAUGUCUGCUCGAAUGUGAGAACAGCUUGAAAUUUGAAUACAUUUUAGAGCAAGGGUCAGUAUAUUAAAUUGAAUAAAUUAACUAAACUCGCCGAGCAUUAUGUAAAGGGUAGGGUGCGGUACAAAGAAUUACGCAAAAGGUCAUAAAAUGCCACAGUUACUUUAGUAAUUCUUUGGUUCAAAAAGGGACCGAUAGGUACUGCCAAUAGAUGAUAAAUCACCGCCAACUCUUGUGCUGGCUGAAGAUGGCUUGGCCGUGAGUGAUGCACACACGUUAUUGGAUUUGCCCUCUUCAACCCACGGGGCUGAGAGGGGUUUUUUCCUUGGUACCACUCGGGGUGGAAAAUGCGACUCUAGUGUCCACUAUAGGCAGAGAGCAUUGGUUUUUAUAAUGCACAGUUCCCAAUUAUUUUCAAAACAUACAACGCAGGUUCCCUUUUGACGACACUCUUAAAAAUAAAACUACCACCGUGCCCUUGCUACCAUACGGAUUUGCCAUUCAGAGAUACAAUUCUGAAAGAAAAUCAUCGGUAGCAUGUGCAACCCUCCGUUGUACCGAUGAGCCAUUUUUGGGCCAAUUGAUAAUGGACCAAUCGUUUAGAAAAUCUGCAGCACUUUUUUUUAAUUACUCUUACUAUUCUUCUGGUUGUGUGGUACAGUAUCUUUUAACAAUGUCUUUGUCCGAGUGAAAGUAAUUUUUAGUGCCGAGCAUCUGAGGUAAGCAAGUCGUCAUUCAUCAACCAUGAUCUAGCCACUGCUGGCUGAAGGCCUCACCAAAGCAACUUCUUGGACAAUGUCCUCGUAAUACUGGCCAUCCUGGCGGUCGAUCUGACACGGAGUCUCCCUGCUCUCGAUUUUCAACCUCCCCGGUUGCAUGUCUCCGUCCCGAGCAACGUUGACGGAGAGUGCACCCGUUUCAACGUCUGUGGUGGACACCUCCCUGGGGUGGACACCUAUCGUGGUGGAGGAGCCAUUCAAAAGUGAUCAACAACGCAGGUGGCUGGGCGAGUGGACUUCCAGAUGCGUCACGUGUCCAUAGGGAAGAUGAUGAGCUGAGUGGCCCCACAACCGGGAUUUGAUUCGUAACCGUCCGAUUAUUACCGGUCAUCCGCUAACCACACCAGAGCACCAUCUGGCUAGACAAUGUAGCUGCGUAUGUAACAAUAAUAAUGUAAUGAAAAUAACGUACAGUGAGGGAAAAAAGUAUUUGAUCCCCUGCUGAUUUUGUACGUUUGCCCACUGACAAAGAAAUGAUCAGUCUAUAAUUUUAAUGGUA